AGUAUGACUUCCGUUUGAAUCAUAGAACAAGAAUCGGUUCCCUGGAACUUGAUAAUGACAAAUGGACGAAUAGCAAACUGAUCAGAGAAAGAUGUGACAGACAUGGCUGUAGGAUAUGCUGGCAUGGAAAGGGUCACGGGUCUCCGCAAGGACAGCUGCGGACUGAGCUGUGGGUCUGGAUGAAGAUACCUGCCCCUUGUUCCCUCCAGGACUGAGCUGUGGGUCUGGGUGAAGAUACCUGCCCCUUGUUUUGGUCCGAUCUGCUUAACACAGUUGAUGAAAGCAAAAUAGGAUGAACAACGUCAAGCCCUGCAUUAACAAAUGCAUACAAAUUACAUGAACCAAUGGAUAUGGUG